ACUUCCCCUCUCUAAGCUCAGGCAUGAGGGUCAAUGGUAACAUACGUGAAGUCCUCAAGACAAGGAAAGUCUUCUGAAAAUGGGGCAGCAUGGAGGCCCAAGGGAUGACAGCCAAUGGGGCCCAUAGGGCAGGAGCAGUCCUUACCCUCUUCUCGCAGAUGCAGAAAGCAGUUCCCAAGAGGCCAGGCACUUCCAGAGGAGCCAAAGGCCAGCCUACGGCUCCUCCCCAGCAGGAAGCCAGCAUCACAUGCUGGGUGGCGAUGUUUGUGACCAGUGGCCAGCGGCUGUCCCAUUCCCCAGCUCCCCAGGGCACAGGCCAGGGGCAGUGAGCAGGGGGCUCUGCCUGGUGGGGAGGGCAGCAGA
rnacentral:lncRNA from 1 species